rnacentral:rRNA from 1 species
AUUGAACGCUGGCGGCAGGCUUAACACAUGCAAGUCGAGCGGAGCGAGGGUGCUUGCACCUUAGCUUAGCGGCGGACGGGUGAGUAAUGCUUAGGAAUCUGCCUAUUAGUGGGGGACAACAUUCCGAAAGGAAUGCUAAUACCGCAUACGCCCUACGGGGGAGAGCAGGGGAUCUUUGGACCUUGCGCUAAUAGAUGAGCCUAAGUCGGAUUAGCUAGUUGGUGGGGUAAAGGCCUACCAAGGCGACGAUGUGUAGCGGGUCUGAGAGGAUGCUCCGCGAGGCUGGGACUGGGACACGGCCCAGACUCCGACGGGAGGCAGGAGUGGGGAAUAUUGGACAAUGGGCGGAAGGCUGAUCCAGCCAGGCCGCGUGUGUGAAGAAGGCCUUUUGGUUGUAAAGCACUUUAAGCGAGGAGGAGGAGCUCUAGGUUAAUACCCUGGAUGCUUGGACGUUACUCGCAGAAUAAGCACCGGCUAACUCUGUGCCAGCAGCCGCCGUAACAC